AUCUACAGAAAUCAGAAGUUGCUGGAAGGUUUUAAGAAGAAAGGUUCGAAGUUUGAUAAUCACUGCAAGAUUUUGAUGUUUUCGAAGUUUUGAAGUUGUUCAAAGGCUUGUAAGGUCAUUUUCCAAUCAAUCUUGGCCGGAUUGUGGUCUACAUCUUUCUAGCAAACUUUGAUAUUUGUGUGUUCUUUGAUUUUCAACAUUAGGAAAUGAAAGGAACUGGUCGAGG